rnacentral:rRNA from 1 species
CACGUAGGGGGGCGAGCGUUGUCCGGAAUCAUUGGGCGUAAAGAGUCUCGUGAGCGGUUUGUCGCGUCUGCUGUGAAAACCUAAGGCUCAACCUUGGGCUUGCAGUGGGUACGGGCAGACUAGAGUGCGGUAGGGGUGACUGGAAUUCCUGGUGUAGCGGUGGAAUGCGCAGAUAUCAGGAGGAACACCGAUGGCGAAGGCAGGUCACUGGGCCG